AAUCACAGCGGCCGCCGUUGGCAAUAGCUGCCACCUGAGCAACUGUCAAGGUCUCUCCGCCUAACUUGACCAAAGGCUUCCUAUAUUCAGCCACCAUCUUUUUCACUUCAUCUAAAUGGCUACCAUUCAUUGACUCAGCAGCCAGACCCCAACUCAGUGGGUCACGAGUCGUGCACAAAGAACCGUUCUGGUGGCCAUUCUGAGAGAAUGUUGCCAUGUUUAAGAAAUACCCAGAUCGCUAAACAAUCAAAUGAAGUGAAGUUGACGAAGAAAAGAGGAGAAGACAACAGGAAAUCUUGAGAUGGUU
rnacentral:misc_RNA from 1 species